CACGAAGUUAGCCGGACCUUAUUCUUAGGGUACAGUCAUUAUCUUCCCCUACAAAAGAGCUUUACAACCCAAAGGCCUUCUUCACUCACGCGGCAUCGCUGCAUCAGAGUUUCCUCCAUUGUGCAAGAUUCCCCA
rnacentral:rRNA from 1 species